ACUACGGGAGGCAGCAGUGAGGAAUAUUGGUCAAUGGACGCAAGCCUGAACCAGCCAAGCAGCGUGAAGGAUGACUGCUCUAUGAGUUGUAAACUUCUUUUGUAAGAGGGUAAACGCAGAUACGAGUACCUGUUUGAAAGUACCGUACGAAUAAGGAUCGGCUAACUCCGUGCCAGCAGCCGCGGUAAUACGGAGGAUACAAGCGUUAUCCGGAUUUAUUGGGUUUAAAGGGUGCGUAGGCGGUCGGUUAAGUUAGUGGUGAAAUACCGAGGCUCAACUUCGGAAUUGCAUAUGAUACUUGUCUGCUAGAGAGUAGUUGCGGUAGGCGGAAUGUAUGGUGUAGCGGUGAAAUGCUUAGAGAUCAUGCAGAACACCGAUUGCGAAGGCAGCUUACCAAGCUACUUCUGACGCUGAGGCACGAAGGCCAGGGGAGCGAAAGGGAUUAGAUACCCCAGUAGUC
rnacentral:rRNA from 1 species